rnacentral:rRNA from 1 species
GACGAACGCUGGCGGCGUGCUUAACACAUGCAAGUCGAACGGAAAGGCCCUGCUUUUGUGGGGUGCUCGAGUGGCGAACGGGUGAGUAACACGUGAGUAACCUGCCCUUGACUUUGGGAUAACUUCAGGAAACUGGGGCUAAUACCGGAUAGGAGCUCCUGCUGCAUGGAGGGGGUUGGAAAGUCUCGGCGGUUGGGGAUUGACUCGCGGCUUAUCAGCUUGUUGGUGGGGUAGUGGCUUACCAAGGCUUUGACGGGUAGCCGGCCUGAGAGGGUGACCGGCCACAUUGGGACUGAGAUACGGCCCAGACUCCUACGGGGGGCAGCAGUGGGGAAUAUUGCAAAAUGGGCGGAAGCCUGAUGCAGCAACGCCGCGUGCGGGAUGACGGCCUUCGGGUUGUAAACCGCUUUCGCCUGUGACGAAGCGUGAGUGACGGUAAUGGGUAAAGAAGCACCGGCUAACUACGUG